rnacentral:rRNA from 1 species
GACGAACGCUGGCGGCGUGCUUAACGCAUGCAAGUCGAACGGAAAGGCCCCCUUGUGGGGUACUCGAGUGGCGAACGGGUGAGUAACACGUGAGUAACCUACCCUUGACUUUGGGAUAACUUCAGGAAACUGGGGCUAAUACCGGAUAGGAGCUCCUGCUGCAUGGUGGGGGUUGGAAAGUUUCGGCGGUUGGGGAUGGACUCGCGGCUUAUCACCUUGUUGGUGGGGUAGUGGCUCACCAAGGGUUUGUCGGGUAGCCGGCCUGAGAGGGUGACCGGCCACAUUGGGACUGAGAUACGGCCCAGACUCCUACGGGAGGCAGCAGUGGGGAAUAUUGCACAAUGGGCGGAAGCCUGAUGCAGCAACGCCGCGUGCGGGAUGACGGCCUUCGGGUUGUAAACCGCUUUCGCCUGUGACGAAGCGUGAGUGACGGUAAUGGGUAAAGAAGCACCGGCUAACUACGUG